AGGAUUCCCUGAGUAAGGGCGACUGAAAGGGGAUAAGCCCAAAGCCGAAUCUGCACGUCAUGAGGCGUGACAGAAAUGUGGCUUAAGAUGUGCCCUCCGGGCUGUGGGAUGAGCCAAAAGUCUCCGUGAACGGGGCCUAGACCAUAGAAGGUGCAAGUCCUGUGAUGGCAAUUCCUUCAGCUCUUCGGGUGCACCGAGAGUCAGGUUGCUUGAGAGUGCAGCCCCAAUCGGGUGGUAAACUCCAUCCAAGGCUAAAUAUGAGCUUGAGUCCGAUAGCGAACAAGUACCAUGAGGGAAAGUUGAAAAGAACUUUGAAGAGAGGGUUCAAAGUAUGUGAAGCCACUUGAGGGAAAGCUGUAGUCCCUGCCCGACGGUGUUACGACUCAACCUGAUAUAGGCUGCCACCUGGUAGUUUGUUCGGGUGCAUUUCGUUUCCCGUCGUCCUGUUCCUACGUCUCCCCGAAAGUUACCAGAGAUAGGUAGCUGGAUUUCGGCCCUCGGGCCGGGUUCAGCACUUAUAGCUUUGGCUAACGGUCCUUCGGGGGGCCGCAGCGGGCCUCGUAUGGUGUCCAGCCUUGUAGCUGGGUUCGGGCUGUUUUUGCUGUGUGGACCGAGUGGGACAGACCUCUGUGCUAUUCGGGCCCUCCAUGGCAAGGCAGUGCGGAUUCGGCUGACGCCUUUAACAGGAUUAGUGGUAGGCGCUACCGACCCGUCUUGAAACACGGACCAAGGAGUCUAGCACUGGUGCGAGCCAAGAAGCUAUAACGCUUCACGGCGAAAUGAAAGUAAAGUUGAUGUUGAGACACGGCUAUGUGCUCGGCCGUUGCAUCGACCUAGCUUCUCUAAGGCGUUGUCCGGGAGGAGCAGCCUAGUACUAUUGCUAGGACCCGAAAGAUGGUGAACUAUUGCUGGGCAGGUCGAAGCCAGGGGAAACUCUGGUGGAGGACCGUAGCGAUUCUGACGUG
rnacentral:rRNA from 1 species